rnacentral:rRNA from 1 species
GCAAGUCGAACGAAACCUUCGGGUCUAGUGGCGCACGGGUGCGUAACGCGUGGGAAACUGCCCAAAGGUGCGGAAUAACUCAGGGGAUCUUGAGCUAAUACCGCAUGAUGCCGAAAGGCCAAAGAUUUAUCGCCUUUGGAUGGGCCCGCGUCGGAUUAGCUUGUUGGUGGGGUAAUGGCCCACCAAGGCGACGAUCCGUAGCUGGUUUGAGAGGAUGAUC